GACGAACGCUGGCGGCGUGCCUAACACAUGCAAGUUGAGCGACGAACCAGGGCUUGCCCUGGGGCAAAGCAGCGAACGGGUGAGUAACACGUGGGUAACCUGCCCCGAUGAUCGGCACAACCCGAGGAAACUCGGGCUAAUACCGAAUGUGCUCGCCGGACACCAGUCCGGCGCGUAAAGGAAGCUUCGGUCUCCGCAUCGGGAGGGGCCCGCGGCCCAUUAGCUUGUUGGGGAGGUAACGGCUCAACAAGGCAACGCUGGGGAGCUGGUCUGGGAGUACGAUCAGCAACACUGGGACUGAGACACGGCCCAGACUCCUACGGGAGGCAGCAGUGGGGAAUCUUGCGCAAUGCGCGAAAGCGUGACGCAGCAACGCCGCGUGGGGGAAGAAGGCCUUCGGGUUGUAAACCCCUUUCAGGAGGGACGAAGGUUCGGCGGUGAAUAGCCGUCCGGACUGACGGUACCUCCACAAGAAGCCCCGGCUAACUACGUGCCAGCCGCCGCGGUAAUAC
rnacentral:rRNA from 1 species